rnacentral:rRNA from 3 species
UACGUAUGGAGCAAGCGUUAUCCGGAUUUACUGGGUGUAAAGGGAGUGUAGGUGGCCAUGCAAGUCAGAAGUGAAAAUCCGGGGCUCAACCCCGGAACUGCUUUUGAAACUGUAAGGCUGGAGUGCAGGAGGGGUGAGUGGAAUUCCUAGUGUAGCGGUGAAAUGCGUAGAUAUUAGGAGGAACACCAGUGGCGAAGGCGGCUCACUGGACUGUAACUGACACUGAGGCUCGAAAGCGUGGGGAGCAAACAGG